GUUGCAAAUGAUGAUAAAACAGACAGGGACAUCUGCACUCAUCUUGGGGUUGAUGAUCAUGUCUUGGGAAUUAAUUUAUUGGUCUGAUGCAAC